UACGGAGGAUGCGAGCGUUAUCCGGAUUUAUUGGGUUUAAAGGGUGCGUAGGCGGGACCAUAAGUCAGCGGUGAAAGUUUUCGGCUCAACCGGAAAAUUGCCGUUGAAACUGUGGUUCUUGAGUGCAGAAGAGGUAGGCGGAAUUCGUUGUGUAGCGGUGAAAUGCGUAGAUAUAACGAAGAACACCAAUUGCGUAGGCAGCUUACCAUACUGCAACUGACGCUGAGGCACGAAAGUGUGGGUAUCAAACAGGAUUAGAUACCCUGGUAGUCCCU
rnacentral:rRNA from 1 species